GGUUCGAGUAUGAAUGAAGUUUUGAUAAUUUUUUUUAUUAAUUUUAUAAUGAAUUUUUUUUGUAAAUAAAAAAUUUUGUUUUUAUUUUUGCAAAGAUAAGUCUUCGUAAAUUCUUUUUAAUUUUUUUUUUUAAAAAAAAAAAUUAAAGUUUUCUAGGGUAGAAUUUUUUGUAUGUAUAUUUUUCUAUUAUUAGUUUAGAGAAUUACUUCGGAGUUAACAGAAAUUCAUAUUUUAUCUAGUUCUUAUAGUAAAGUAAGUUUUACAUCGGUGUUGUAUUUAUAUUGUUUGGGAGGUAGAAUGUUCAAUAUUUAAGACUGUUCUUCUUUUUAGUAUAACGUGAUAUUAGUUUAAUUCAUCGUGAGAUAGAAUUGUUUAUCUUGAAAAAUAAUUUUUUUUUUAGGUUUUUAGUACGAAAGGAAAAAUAGUUGAAGUUAAAAACUUUAUGAUGUACGG
rnacentral:rRNA from 1 species